ACCGCCGUAAUGAUUAAUAGGGACAGUCGGGGGCAUCAGUAUUCAAUCGUCAGAGGUGAAAUUCUUGGAUUGAUUGAAGACUAACUACUGCGAAAGCAUUUGCCAAGGAUGUUUUCAUUAAUCAGGAACGAAAGUUAGGGGAUCGAAGACGAUCAGAUACCGUCGUAGUCUUAACCAUAAACUAUGCCGACUAGGGAUCGGACGAUGUUAUUUUUUGACUCGUUCGGCACCUUACGAGAAAUCAAAGUGCUUGGGCUCCAGGGGGAGUAUGGUCGCAAGGCUGAAACUUAAAGAAAUUGACGGAAGGGCACCACCAGGGGUGGAGCCUGCGGCUUAAUUUGACUCAACACGGGGAAACUCACCAGGUCCAGACACAAUGAGGAUUGACAGAUUGAGAGCUCUUUCUUGAUUUUGUGGGUGGUGGUGCAUGGCCGUUCUUAGUUGGUGGAGUGAUUUGUCUGCUUAAUUGCGAUAACGAACGAGACCUUAACCUGCUAAAUAGCCCGUAUUGCUUUUGGCAGUACGCUGGCUUCUUAGAGGGACUAUCGGCUCAGGCCGAUGGGAAGUUUU
rnacentral:rRNA from 1 species